rnacentral:snRNA from 1 species
GUACUCGCUUUGGCAGCACAUAUACUAAAAUUGAAAUGAUACAGAGAAAAUUAGCAUGUCCCCUGCACAGGGAAAUAAAAGAGUUGGGGCCUGGCUUC